CUGCCGGCACGGAGCGGGGGGCACUCCGCGUGUGGGAGCUGCAGCGGGCGCGGGGCCCGCGAGCGGGGCAACUGCGGCUUCUUAGAGAUGUGCCAAGCACGUAUUUCUAACGGAAGGCACCUAGGCAUUAGACUGGGAGGAGUGACGCGUGCACAAACUGAGUUUCUGCAUUGCCGUAGUUGUUCUGUAACUCUUUUUCACAUGCUAUGGAUUGGCACAUGGGUCCAGGGAGGGAAGACCUACCAGUCAACCCAGUGGGAUACUCCGUUUCUUCACUCAGCGCUUGUGAGGCCACACCUAGAGUACUGUGCACGACUUUGGGCCCCUCACAACAAGAAAUACACUGAGGCUUCGGAGUGUGUCCAGAGAAGGGCAAUGAAGCUGGUCUGGAGCACAAGGAAUGGCUGAGAGAGAUGGGAUUGUUUAGUCUGGAGGAGGGUCAGGGGAGACCUCAUCACUCACUACAGCUCUCUGAAGGGAGGCUAUGGCCAGGUGGGGGUCAGCCUUUUCUUCCAUUCAUUCCAGAAUGACAGGGAAUGGCUUUAAGUUGCAGCAGUUCAGGUUGGAUAUGAGGAAAAAUUUCUUCUCCGGCUGUGGUGAGAUGUUGGAACAGGGUGCCCACGGAGGUGGUGGAGUCACUGUUCCUGGAGGUUUUCAAGAUGUAGAUGUCACACUGAGAGAUGUGGGUUAGUGGGCAUGGUGGUAGUGGAUUGACAGUUGGACUGCAUGGUCUUACUGGUCUUUUCCGGCCUUCUAUGAUCCUGUGAUUGUUUCAACAGCACUUUGAGGUGAACCUCACGUACGUGAGAGGCUUCAGCAGUUAGUUGUCUGGGGUCCACGUCUGCAGUGAAGGAAACGAGCAUUCUGCAGUGAGUUGAGGCAGAGUGUGAGACGAUUUUUGAAUUAAAAGAAAGCGUCGAUUUUAGAGUCACACAGAAGCAUGAGUAACAGGGUCUGGGUAGUGGAUGCUCACAGCUUUGCAAGAGUACCCCAUACAAAACCAGACCUCAGCGUUGCCACCAUGCCAGGGGGCUUUUGCCAAUGCCAAGCUGCAGGGCGGGAGUGCGGCGUCUAGCAGACGGAUAUCUGUAAUCAGAAUUAGCAACAGAUAGUGCCCUGAUUGGCUGCCUCUGCAAAGAGGCUAACCCGGGAAGAAAUGGGAUUAAACUGCUCCCUCACCUCCACGCAUCCCGGGGAUCACUGCUUCAUGUUUGAAGUAGUGCUCGCACUGAUGCUGCCCAUCUCCAGACAAGUUUUCAUGUAAAGAAAGGCUCCCUGGCACCGUCGCUCCUAUCUCUCUGCUUCCAAAUCGCAUGCUUUGGACUUGGUGUAAAUUACAGCAUGACAGCACUGUUAAGUUUCAGGGCUCCAUUCAGAGAACUUUCUGUUUCCCGCUCAGCUGGUGUGGCCAUCUGUCCAGCCAGCACAACUCUAUCUCUUAGAGCACCACUUGUACUUUGGAAGAACUUCAGCUUUCCUUAAAAUCCUGAUGCUGACAGGGAGCAUUUGCACUGCUGUCAGGCAGAACUUACCGUAGGAGCUCAGUGCCCAGAAAGGCUCCUGCCUGUGGUAACUCUGAGCAGCAGAAAAAGUAGAAGAGUGAAUUCUAACAGAACAGGAACAAAUAUUUUCUUUAAGGUGUCAGAUUAAUACAGAGCAUGCACUAUGCUUCACUUUUCAUUUUUCACUUUUACAACUGCUGCUGAGGCUGUUGGUUAGCCUCUGUGCAACGCGACAAUGAGCAACAAGACACCACAGAAGGGUGCAGCAUAUUGCAUGCAGACCCUUCCUUGGCCACCCAAGACGAUGCUGCGGAUCUUGGUCCUGCCAGCACGAUGCUGAUCUGCUUGAGCACAGCCAUAUAGGUAAAACAGAUUAUGCUCAGUUUCUAAAUGCCUUCAGUGGCAUGGCAAACAGGGUUUCUUGUCAUUUGUGCUUCAGUGUGCAACUGAAGAGAGAACAACGUGAAGAAAGGCUACAGAAUAAGUCUGCAAAAUGCUUUCAGUUGAACAGAAAGAAACUGUUUACAUGGCUUCCGUAAGAGGACAGCCUCAAACCUUUUUUCUAGAAUAGAUACCAGUUAAUGUCACUGGAGUUAAGUGUUGGUAUUUAGAAAUUUUGCAAUAAAAACAAAGAAAUAAAGAUUGCCAUCUUAAAGCAAAUAGCCUUAUAUUGUAUCUAUUUAUCACCAUCUCAUCAAAAUUUACUGCUGGAAAUUAACAAGGCAGGAAAUUAAAAUAUCCAGAGCAGAUCCUACCUGUCUUCAUGCAGACAAAACUUCCUUUGAAAAAAAUACAAGUUUUUGGAAUGACGAUAGCACUGAGCCCCCACAGUUUGCCUCGUUAAGGUUUACAAGCCAUUUCCUUUACAAACAGUUCUGAGGCUGAGAUUUAAUGAGGUUUAUGUCUGAUAGUAAAAUUAGAAUGAAGAUUCAGUGAGUGUUGAGUGUCCCUCCCACACUCAAUGAUUUAACCUAGGGAAAAAUUUCACGUACUGACAGAGAUUGCCAGUGUUGUUAAAAAGCAAAUCUGGUCAGGACAAAAGAGUAGGUUUCUAGAAGGAAAAGUAAAUAAAUCCAAUUACUUGCUUGGAUUGUUUAGCUAUUUGGAACUUCGGAUAGACGGGAAUGCUGAUUAUGUCUUAUUUUUACCUGCAGGAUGCCUGUGUACCCUUUUUGAAGUUCUGGGGGUGUUUCCCUCUUCCUCAGAUGAGCUCUUUGCAAAAAUCCUGCAAACAAGAGAAGAUGAGGCUGGUGAGAUACUCAAGGUAAAGGUAAUGUAAUGGAGGGAUAUAAGCGUCAUAAUCCAAAGCUCCACUGCAGGAAGCCACGUACUUAAGUCUUUUUGGACAAUUUCCUCAGAACUGUGAAAAACUACUGUUUCAGCAUGCUCCUGGUAAGGCACUGCACUUCUUAUGUGCUGUUUUGAUAUUUUUGGAGGUGGUGUAUAGAAGGCUGAUGGUGAAGGAGCAAGCGAAGUGAAAGGGGAAGCGAGAUGGAUGGAGUUCCCCAUAGCUGCUCUUUUCAAAUUUACUGUAGGCUGUGUUAAUGAUGAAGGUCCUUGAGGCUUCCAAGAAUUCCCCAGUGUGAAACUUCUGUGUUUGCAUUUCUCUUGAUUUCUGUCUGAGGGAAUUCCUUGGGAAAAAACUGAUGAAAAUUUCUUUUCAGUGUUCAUAUGUUGUUUCUUUAAGAGACUGAGGAAAACAGAAGUUUGCAUAAAAUCCCUGGCUGGGGCUCUGCCUCGUCUGAAGAGUGGGUUCAAAAAAUCCCCACUGCAUUUGUUUUUUAUUUUUUCAGUUUGCAUAUUCUUUCUUAAAAUACUACACACGUGCACACGGUGUGUACAUUCUUUGUUUGAAAUGCCAGUUUCUGUCUUUUUUGUUGGAUGAAGGCUAAGGAACAUAGAGAGUGGGAGAGCAAAACAUUUCUCCAAUUGUAAGUUUAAUUUUCUUUUCCUGGGUUUUACUAUAUUUUGAAUCAUAGAAUCACCAAGGUUGGAAAAGACCCACAGGAUCACCCAGUCCAACCAUCCACCCAUCACCAAUGGUUCUCACUAAACCAUGUCCCUCAACACAACGUCUAAACGUUCCUUGAACACAUCCAGGGUCGGUGACUCCACCACCUCCCUGGGCAGCCCAUUCCAGUGCCUAACAUAAUACAUAAUACAUAAUACAUAAUGUUAUUUUGAUAACGUAAUACUUCACUAGAAGUGAAUAAGUUACAAAAAUGACUAGGGAAAUAUCCCCUAGAUAUAUUCACUUUCUAAAUUAUAAAUACUGAAUCAUCUGAUUUUUUCAACUGUAUUAGCAUGCAUGAGAAGGUAUUUGCAAACUGUUGUUUUGCUUCUAGUGUAGCAGAGGGCUCCCCACUUACCUGUGAAAAGAUGUCACUCAGGUGGGUAUCUAAAAGAAAAAAGCAAUGUAGUCCUUACACCAAAGUCUUUCAUUUCUCCCUCACAGAAUUUCUUUCUACAUGCAAAGAGUAAGCCAUGCAUGUGCUUCACAUUUUCUUAAAGUAGUUCCUCUGACUUUAUUGUCAGAUGAGGCAGCCAAUAAUAGGCUGUGUUGAUACUGGUAUGAAUAAGCCUGAUGAUGCUGUUCCAUAUGGACAAAACAUGUAGCACAUCUACUCUUUCACUUCUGAAAUUUAAGAUCCAUUCACUCCUCUUCUGCAGAUUUUCCACAUAUCUGUGGGUGCUUUCAGCCUUUCUAGCCCUAAGUUUUGGCUCUGGGAUGUUCAGGAUAUGGCUUUACAGUUUGGAAGAGGUUCAGGUGGUAUUUAACUUCAAGCCAUGGGUACCAAGUGCUAGCCAAUUACCACAGACAUGUGCCAGUCUCCCCCUGCUGUAGUCCUGCGUCAGUAAACUGUAAGCAAGUGAGUACUGAAUUCAUUCUAAUUCAGUAUUUUCUGACAAACCCCAGAGAAAGCCUUAAUAUGUGACCCACUUUCUAUUUCUGAAAUACAAUGUUUUUAAUCCUCUUUCUGUUUCAGUUUUGCCUAAUACAAACUGGGAGUCGGUCCCUGCUAUCUAAUGCAAUCCACUAGCGGAAAAGCACUGUCAGAAAAACAGAAACAGAAAUAUUUUUUCCAAGUAAAGAAAUUAAAGACAAAGUCUGAAAGUUUCGCUGCCAAAUGUAUUCGUUUCGAGUGUGUUUGUCUCAUUGAACACUCCUGUGAGAAUUUGGAGCACUUUAGAAUAGAGCUUGCACCAUGGCAUGCUUCAGCACAGAGCCUGAGUUCCUGUUGUAAAGGUGAAUAUCGUUCUCAUUUUAUAGGCGCUGAAAUUGAAUUAGAGAGUAUUUAGAUGCAGCAGAGCAAUGCAUAAUGUGACUCUAAGCAUACAAAUGUCUUAUUUUGGAACUACUCAAAUGCUUUAAACAAGUCAUGGUUUAAAUGGCUUGUCCAAAACCAUACAGCCAGGAAGAUGAGGGAGAGGGUCCGGCUCCUUACUGAGAUCUUUAAAGAAAGUAUCCUAAAUAUAAAUAGCGCAUCUCCAUCGAGGCUACAGGUGCUCAUAUUGAAGCUGUUUCUCUUUUUGGAAUGUAAUGAAUGCUGGCCAGCAAAUAUUGUAAAAGGCACUUUGUGACAUCGAAGUCAACACAGUAAUUAUAUUCAAUAUCCUGUGUUUUUGUCAGGCUUUCUUCUAGACAACUGAAUAUAAACUAGAGCACUGAUAAGCAAAGUAUUCUCCAGGAAGGAUACAAGACUACUUUAUUGCUUCACAUAACUUUUUUUUCAGUUUGCACUUACAUGGUAUCAAAGUAAUAUCACAUUGAAAACGUGACUGUGUGUGCAAGGAGUCAUGCUUCAGAGGAGGAGUUCUUUUCUCUUUCCUGUCUCUUCCAGAGAUAACUGGUCUUUCUGGCAUUAACUGGUGGUUUCACCGGAGCACACAGCAUUGUGAUUAACCAGGGGCUUCAACUGAAAGGCAUGCAUGCAUUUUUGCAAUUUAAUGAUAAAGAUAUGUGUGCUUUGAAAACAUAUUAGAAACUUGUAGAAUGACUGUGGGGCUAUUAUUAUUUUCAUAUUGUGCCCUGCUAGCUUUCAUCGCCUCUAACAGGAUCAUACUGUUUCUCAUCUUUGCAGAAAUGUGAUGUUCUUGAAGGAGAUUUCUUUUUCCUGGAAACAUUUAAGUUGUCAUGUUGCCAGGUUAAAAUAAAGAGACUCUUGUCUCAUCCAAAAGUUUCCUUCCUUCUUGGUGCUUUUGUAAUGCAGUUUCCACAAAUUGCAAACAUCAUGGGACUUGUCCCAAGAGAUGCUCAAGGAAAAACUGAAUGUUAUACAUGUAGCAUACCCCCUUACAAACCAUACCUCCCAUUUGAUCAUCAUUUAUGCAGUUCAAAAUGUCUUACUCUGUUGUACCUCCUUCCUCAGCACCUUUUGGCAAGAAAAUACCCUUCCUUUUAUUUUCUAUGGAAGAAAUCAUAGACUCAUAGAAUGGCCUGGGUUGAAAAGGACCACAAAGAUCAUGUAGUUUCACCCCCCCUGCUAUAUGCAGGGUCUCCAACCACCAGAUCAGGCUGCCCAGAGCCACAUCCAGCCUGGCCUUGAAUGCCUCCAGGGAUGGGGCAUCCACAGCCUCCUUGGGUAACCUGUUCCACUGCGUCACCACCCUCUGAGUGAAAAACUUCCUCCUAAUAUCCAACCUAAACCUCUUUGUGGUGCAUGGUUCGAUUGAUUGUUGUCUUGUACAGCUGUCUUCUGUAUGGGUAUAGUCUAUGAAAAUGAGGAGCUGUCACUGUUAGAAAUAUAUUAUGGAUCUUUUUUGCCCUCUGUACUGAGCUAGUUGGAAAGUAAUACCACACUGAGAGUACAAUAUCUUCUUUCUGUGUUGUUCUCGUAAAAUACAUUCUCUUUACAGAUCCAAAAAAGUGUGCUUCUGAUUCAGUAAAGGAUGUAUAAGAAUCGCAUGGUUUUAUUUUCUCUUGAUGCAUUCUGUGAAUUUAGUGUGACUUCCUUUUUAUUGCUUCUUGAAUAUCCAGCAACAAGAAAGUCUUCAGCUUUCUCUGUAAGAAGGCAGCAUUGAGGGAUGAAAUUUUCACAGUCAAACUACUUCACAAACAGCAAUUAAUAAUCAGAAGACACUCAUAGGUAAAUAUUCUUAUCUCUGUUUUUCAGUUGGCGAAACUGAAAUAAAGAGGCCAAGGUCAACGUCUUCUAAUUUAAAA